rnacentral:lncRNA from 1 species
CCAAAAAUACUUAAAAAACACCCAAAAAAUCCUCAAAAAAUACCCAAAAAAUACCCCAAAACCACCCAAAAACCACCCAAAAAAAUCCGAAAAAACACCCCAAAAACCACCCAAAAAAUAUUCAAAAAACACCCAAAAAACACCCAAAAAAUACCCAAAAAUCACUCAAAAAACACCCAAAAAACACCAAAAAACACCCAAAAAACACCCAAACCCCCCAGAUGGGCUGUACCGGCUUUGGGGAUGGUGGCGGUGCUGCAGGACAGCCCCAAAACACCCAAACCCCCCCAAAACCAUCUCAAAAAACACCCAAAAAACACCAAAAAAUACCCAGAAAACACCCAAAAAACACCCAAAAAAUGCCCAAAAAACACACAAAAACACCCAAAAAGUACCCAAAAAAUCCUCAAAAAAUACCGAAAAAAUACCCAAAAAUACCCAAAAAACCACCCAAAAAAUCCUCAAAAAACACCAAAAAAACACCCAAAAAAUACCCAAAAAACACACAAAAAACACACAAAAAAUACCCAAAAAAUCCUCAAAAAAUACCGAAAAAAUACCCAAAAAACACCCAAAAGAUCCUUCAAAAACACCCAAAAAACACCAAAAAAACACCCAAAAAGCACACAAAAAACACCCAAAAAAUCCUCAAAAAAUACCCAAAAAACACCCAAAAAUAUCAAAAAAAUACCAAAAAAACACCUAAAAAAAACUUUAAAAACACCCAAAAAAUCCUCAAAAAACACCAAAAAAACACAUAAAAAACACCCAAAACCCACCCAAAAACAUCCAAAAAAUACCCAAAAAAUACCCAAAAAAUACCAAAAAACCACCCAGAAACCACCCAAAAAACACCCAAAAAACACCCAAAGCGCGUUGAAAUGGGCUGUACCGGCUUUGGGGAUGACGGCGGUGUUGCAGGACAGCCCCAAAACACCCAAACACCCCCAAAACCAUCUCAAAAAACACCCAAAAAAUACCCAAAAAAUCCUCAAAAAAUACCGAAAAAAUACCCAAAAAUACCCAAAAAACACCCAAAAAAUCCUCAAAAAACACCAAAAAAACACCCAAAAAACACCCAAAAAACACCCAAAAAACACCCAAAAAUAUCCAAAAAAUCCUCAAAAAACACCCAAAAAAACCCCAAAAAACACCCAAAAAAUCCUCAAAAAACACCCAAAAAUACACAACCCCCCCCGAUGGGCUGUACCGGCUUUGGGGAUGACGGCGGUGUUGCAGGACAGCCCCAAAACACCCAAACACCCCCAAAACCAUCUCAAAAAACACCCAAGAAACACCAAAAAAUACCCAAAAAACACCCAAAAAAUACCCAAAAAACACACAAAAACACCCAAAAAGUACCCAAAAAAUCCUCAAAAAAUACCGAAAAAAUACCCAAAAAUACCCAAAAAACCACCCAAAAAAUCCUCAAAAAACACAAAAAAACCACCCAAAAAAUACCCAAAAAACACACAAAAAACACACAAAAAAUACUGAAAAAACACACAAAAAACACACAAAAAAUACCCAAAAAAUCCUCAAAAAAUACCACACACAAAAAAUACUGAAAAAACACACAAAAAACACACAAAAAAUACCCAAAAAAUCCUCAAAAAAUACCCAAAAAACACCCAAAAAACACCCAAAAAUAUCAAAAAAAUACCAAAAAAACACCCCAAAAAUACUUUAACAACACCCAAAAAAUCCUGAAAAAACACCCAAAAAACACCCAAAAAAUACCCAAAAAAUACCCAAAAAACACCAAAAAAACACAUAAAAAACACCCAAAACCCACCCAAAAACAUCCAAAAAAUACCCAAAAAAUA